GGCAGCAAAAAAUGGUGUCUGGUCACACAUUCCUCAUAAUCAUGCUGCCCGCUGCGUUAUUUUUCCUACAAGAAGCACAUGGUUCUCUAGUUGUGGAGGAAAGGCAGAUAGUGUGCGACCGAUUGCUGGGUCCAUGUCGAUAUCGAGACGCAUGCAGAUGCAACCCGACUUCAAGGUUGGGACUAAGAUCUCUAGGCACGUACUACUUCCGGCGUGGCAGGUGUCAUGCAGGCGGAUUUGCCAGAAACUGCAACGGAUUUCCGACAAGGGUGGCGUGCCAUUCAGCAUGCAUUGCCUUGUCUUUGGCAAUCAGCGCUAGUCGCGUAUGUUACGUAUGUUGGAAGAAACAUACGUUCCAAUAAAUUGGUUCUCUACGACAAUAUGACGCCGUUGUCAAGAUUUACCGCGGGUGAAGGAUGCAGUAAGGGCGUAAUGAUGCGCUCAUGUAAAAUACAGUUUAUUUUGGUUGACAAAAGCAUUGACAAUUCAAUUGUAUUUCGAAACAGAGAUAUCCAAAACUGAUUUGAGAACUUCAUUCCGAACGGCUGGCUGUGGCGAAGCCUUUGGACUCGGAUUAAUAAAAAAUGCAUUAUUGCUCUAUACCAAACGCUAUGCGAAUAACAGUAUGUGUAUACGGAAGCUAAUACUUUGAAAUCUAAAUUUUUGAAUACAUCGUGGUAUGCUUAUGAGGUAAGAUGGGUCAAAUAAAUGGCACAUA